rnacentral:rRNA from 1 species
UACGUAGGGUGCAAGCGUUAAUCGGAAUUACUGGGCGUAAAGGGUGCGCAGGCGGCCCCGCGUGUCAGGCGUGAAAUCCCCGGGCUCAACUUGGGAAUGGCGCUUGAAACUAUGGGGCUGGAGUGUGGCAGAGGGAGGUGGAAUUCCAGGUGUAGCGGUGAAAUGCGUAGAGAUCUGGAGGAACACCGAUGGCGAAGGCAGCCUCCUGGGCCAACACUGACGCUCAUGCACGAAAGCGUGGGGAGCAAACAGG